CGAAACUAUGAGUUAAUAUAACCACAGAUUUCGUAUCAAAGCUAACAGUUUCGAUUUCUUUUCAAGUAUGUUUACUUGGAAAAGUUCAUGACUUUUCAGAUGCACUCCGAAGAAGGAUGUGUGGCUUCCACUGAUGUCUUACCAAAUUCUUUGCUAGCUGGUGGUGAUGAUGACACCAUGUCAGUCAUUAGUGGAAUCAGCAGCGCGGGGUCAACAGUACGGAGUAAAAAAUCAAAACCAUCUACAGGAAAACGGAAAGUGGUUGAGGGCAUGCAGCUUUCACUCACCGAAGAAAGUAGUAGUAGUGACAGUAUGUGGUUAAGCAGAGAACAAACACUGCACACCCCUGUUAUGAUGCAGACACCACAACUCACCUCCACUAUUAUGAGAGAGCCCAAAAGAUUACGGCCUGAGGAUAGCUUCAUGAGUGUUUAUCCAAUGCAGACUGAACAUCAUCAAACACCUCUUGAUUAUAACACGCAGGUAACAUGGAUGUUAGCUCAAAGACAACAAGAGGAAGCAAGGCAACAGCAGGAGAGAGCAGCAAUGAGCUAUGUUAAACUGCGAACUAAUCUUCAGCAUGCCAUGUAAGUGAGAGUGCCUUAUUGUCUGAGUCUAGGAAGUUCACUAAUUCAUUUUAACAUUUUAAUGUGUGCCUUAUCUAAAAAUUUCAGCAAACUCUCUAGAGUAACUUAAGCUGAAAUAAUCAAGGAACUAAAAAUUGGUCUUUCCAACAGAAAAGCAAAAUAUUUUAAUUAAAAUACUACCUAGUUAGCCAAAGGACCAAUCUUAGGUUGAUCUGUUGGAAAAGUUUAAAUAUCAAUCCUUGUUUAUUUUGGUACACAGCAUUAAAAAUACAGUUGUGUUACAUCCUAAUUGAUUUUCCCAACUUAGUUCAGGCCCUCAUCUCUCACCUGAACUAUUGUAUUAGCUUUCUAACUGGUUUUCUUCCCUCAAAUCUCCCAUUUAUUUUCUCACCAAACCUCUCCCUUCACCCCCCCUGCUCCAUCAUUCACACCACCAUCAAGAAUUACUAUUCUAGAAUAAAAAUCUUACCAUGUAACUCUUACUUAAAACCUUUCUGUGGCUCCCCAUUGCCUGCUGGAUAAACUCCCAACUUCCUUAGCUCAUGGCAUGCAAGAUGUUUCAAAAUAUGGCCCCUGCCACGUUUUAGUAUCAUUUCCUAUUCCCUGGCAGCUGGUAAAAUCAUCAUAAAAGAACAAGCUCAGGUGUCACCUUAACUGAAGCUUUGGUCAUCUAUGCUCCCAUAACACUAUGUAUAUCCAUAUUUCUUAUAGCACUUGCCACAUUGUAUUGUAAAUAUUUGUUUAUGAGUUUGUCCCGUUUGUCUAGACUGUGAGCUCCUCAAGGGCAGGGACCACAUUCAUUGCCUAUCAGUGCUUGGCACGUAAAAGGUGCUAAGUAAAUGUUCAUUGAAUGAAUAAAUGUUCAAUGCUAAAAAAAUGAAGUUUAUCUUUUAAAUACUUUGUUUUUACUGGAUUAUGUAUGAUAACUUUAUAAAUCUUUCUAAAAUCUUCAUUAGCUUUGGCUCUAAAAAACAUGGCAGACAAGCAGUCUUUAGAUAAUUUUUUUAAAUGUCUUGAUUGGUAUACAGGGAAAAGUGUGAUGAUUAUGAUUAAGUUUUUGAGUUUGAAAGCAUUGUAUUUAUAAUGUGGUAUAUGUUUUACUAUUGGGAGAUAGUUGUUACCCUCUUCUUUUUUUAAUUUAUAUUUUGUUCUGUCUUGUUGGUUUUUAGAUGUUAAGAAUUUUACCUGUUUUUCUUACAAAAUGAUCAUUUACUAUGAGUGGUGGCCUGCAUAAAUUCACUUUAGUUAUCUCCAUAGUGGUCUUAACCUCUAGAGACACAAGGUAUACUCUAUUACACGUAUAGAUUCUGAUCCUGGUUAAUAUGGUCAUCAUCUAUAUUGUCACAUAGUUCUAUCCUCUUUUGUCUGUUUCUGUGACCACAUUCCUUUUAAUAUAAGUUCUUAUUUUAUGCUGGAUCCUACAACUAAUUUCUUGGCUUCCAAGUAGUCGCCGGUCCAUAUAUUCCAGAAUUCUGCCGUGCAAUCAUUUGGUCUAUAUCUCUCCCCAUAAAACAUUACACCAGUUCCUAAGAUCCUAUAUAGCAUGUCACUACUUAGUACCAUUUUAAUUCCCAAUUAUAGUUAACUCCUCCGCCUCCCGGCAACUACAAGAAAUUAUCUCAGUUAAAUGACUAUUACCAAAGGAUUCUUUGGUGGUUGUACCAUAAGUCAUCUAUUGCAUGGGACUCUAAAGCAUUUUCAUCUUACAAUGAUUUUUCUAUAAUGGUAUCUGCCCUAUAACUAAAAAUACUUCCAAAUUUUCUUUUUUAUUUUUCAUAGCUUGUAUCACAUAUAUCUUCCUUGUACUUCAAACAAAAUGCAGAACGGCUUUCUGAUUUUCUGUCACAUAGUUCAUACAGCACAUAUAUUCCCUUCACGGUUGCCUCUACAAAAUACAGUAAAAUUGUCUUUCUACCCAGAACUGUUAGGAAGUAAGGACCAUUAUAAACAUAUUUGUCCAGGUAACAUGGAUCAGAGAUCGUAUCUUGUUGUCUUUAUAUCUUUUAAGAACCAGCAUAGUAUUGUGUAAAUUGUAAGCAUUCGGUAAAUAAUUGCUGGGGUUUUGGCAACUUUCUUGACUGUGGGGGUGUCUUUGGAUGAGAAAAGAAGGUAAUGUUGGCCAAACUAGGGAAAAACAAGUCCUACUCAGUUUCACUAUUAUGUUGGCUACUUUAUGCUGAUCUGGGCUAAUUUGUGAACUUAAUUUAUUCCCCAUAAUUAUGUAAUAACGUAUAUAACUUUUGGUCUUAGUUUUUCAUUUUAAAUUUCUAAAUAUGUCUUAGUUUUGAGUUUCAUAGGGCACACGAAUCUGAGUUUCAGCAUGAGUGUUCCUCAUUUCUUCCUGAGGCAGAAUUAAUUCCUUAUUUUAGUAUGUCCUUAUAACACUUGAUGCAUAGUUUUCUUGUAAUAUUUAUCACAUUUUGUCAUAAUUAAUUGUUUAUCUCUGUUUGCCAUGGUAGACUGUAAGCUCCUUGAGGGCAGGAAUCAUGUCUUAGUCUUAUUCAUCUUUUUUUUUUUUUUUUUUUUUU
rnacentral:lncRNA from 1 species